rnacentral:rRNA from 1 species
AGCGAACGCUGGCGGCAGGCUUAACACAUGCAAGUCGAACGGGCACUUCGGUGCUAGUGGCAGACGGGUGAGUAACACGUGGGAACGUACCUUUCGGUUCGGAAUAAUACAGGGAAACUUGUACUAAUACCGGAUACGCCCUUCGGGGGAAAGAUUUAUCGCCGAUAGAUCGGCCCGCGUCUGAUUAGCUAGUUGGUGAGGUAAUGGCUCACCAAGGCGACGAUCAGUAGCUGGUCUGAGAAGGUGAUCAGCCACACUGGGACUGAGACACGGCCCAGACUCCUACGGGAGGGAGCAGUGGGGAAUAUUGGACAAUGGGCGAAAGCCUGAUCCAGCCAUGCCGCGUGAGUGAUGAAGGCCUGAGGGUUGUAAAGCUCUUUUGUCCGGGAGGAUAAUGACUGUACCGGAAGAGUAAGCCCCGGCUAACUUCGUGCCAGCCGCCGCCGUAAAAC